rnacentral:rRNA from 1 species
CUGGCGGCGUGCCUAAUACAUGCAAGUCGAGCGAACGGACGAGAAGCUUGCUUCUCUGAUGUUAGCGGCGGACGGGUGAGUAACACGUGGAUAACCUACCUAUAAGACUGGGAUAACUUCGGGAAACCGGAGCUAAUACCGGAUAAUAUUUUGAACCGCAUGGUUCAAAAGUGAAAGACGGUCUUGCUGUCACUUAUAGAUGGAUCCGCGCUGCAUUAGCUAGUUGGUAAGGUAACGGCUUACCAAGGCAACGAUGCAUAGCCGACCUGAGAGGGUGAUCGGCCACACUGGAACUGAGACACGGUCCAGACUCCUACGGGAGGCAGCAGUAGGGAAUCUUCCGCAAUGGGCGAAAGCCUGACGGAGCAACGCCGCGUGAGUGAUGAAGGUCUUCGGAUCGUAAAACUCUGUUAUUAGGGAAGAACAUAUGUGUAAGUAACUGUGCACAUCUUGACGGUACCUAAUCAGAAAGCCACGGCUAACUACGUGCCAGCAGCCGCGGUAAUACGUAGGUGGCAAGCGUUAUCCGGAAUUAUUGGGCGUAAAGCGCGCGUAGGCGGUUUUUUAAGUCUGAUGUGAAAGCCCACGGCUCAACCGUGGAGGGUCAUUGGAAACUGGAAAACUUGAGUGCAGAAGAGGAAAGUGGAAUUCCAUGCGUAGCGGUGAAAUGCGCAGAGAUAUGGAGGAACACCAGUGGCGAAGGCGGCUUUCUGGUCUGUAACUGACGCUGAUGUGCGAAAGCGUGGGGAUCAAACAGGAUUAGAUACCCU